rnacentral:tRNA from 1 species
GGCGUUAGCUCGAGUUGGAUAGAGCAGCGGGCGCUGCCCAAAGUCGCCGGUUCGAUUCCGGCACGCCACCA